GAGCUUCGAAGAGGAGGCUCCGACGCCGCCCAACCCCUGAUCAGAACCCAGAGGGUGGGGAGGUAAGGGGGUGCCUCCCCCUGUGUCCCUCGACCCGAUCGCUCACCCCCCAGGGCCUCCGGGUGCGGCUCUGGAGCGCAGGGUGGCAGGUGCCGGGAAGUGCAGCGGCGGGUGGCCCGCCCCCUCCGGACACCCAUCCCUCGCCUCCCCGACGCCAGGAACACUUGCGCGGUCUCAGAGGACAAUUCAAGGAGUGGAAAAUUGUGCUGGCCCUCCAGCCCACAUGGGCUGACUCAUGCUCAGCUCUGGGCUGGGGGCCCUGUGAGCUCCCCACAGUCCCCCUGGGGCCAGAGGGGAGGCCAGGCCCUGGCAGGCGGAGCAGGAGAGGGUCCACGGGUCUUCCUCUGUCACCAAGGCUGAAGUGCAGUGGCAUGAUCACAACUCACUGUAGCCUCAGACUCCUGGGCUCAAGCAAUCCUUCCAUCUCAGCCUCCUGAGUUUCUAGGACCACAGGGGCGCCACCACUCCUGGCUAAUUUAAAAAACUUUUUUGUAGAGUUGGGGUCUAUGUUGUCCUAUGUUGUCCAGGCUGGUCUCAAACUCCUGGGCUCAAAUGAUCCUCUUGCCUCUGCCACCCAAAGUGCUGGGAUUAUAGGCGUGAGUCACUGCGCCCAGCCCCCGGGGCACUUUCUGACACAACCUGCUACACAUCUUGGACACCACUUGUCAAGCCUGGCCCUAGGCCUCUCAGGGGUGGGGACAUUAAGUGAGGAAGUCACACUGUCAGGGCAGAAAGAGGGGCUGGGUGGGGCCGGACAGGCUCUGCCGGCUCAGGAUCCCCGCAGGACAGGCUGCCCAACCCAGCCCCAAAACUCCCAUCUUCUGUCCAACGCCCAGGCCUGCUUCCUCCCUGCCCCACCUCACCUUGCACUGCCCAGACUGGUGGGGCUGCAUUUUUGGGGCCACUGUCAGGUGUGAUUGGGGACACCCCAGGUCAGGAGGUCAGGGCCCUGUUUCCUCCCAAGCCAGGAUGACUCAGUGAUGGACAGACUGGGCCACAAGGGGCAGAACACAAAGCCAAAUUAGGGUUUAGCUUGAAGCCAACCUGGGUUUGAACCCUGGCUCUGCCAUGCACCCAGCUGUGUGACUGUAGGCUGGUGGCUUCUCUGUAACAUGGGGAAGAGCCAGCGAGCUGAGGUGUCAAAUCUCAACUGAUAUAUUUCCUAGCUGUGUGACUCUGGGCAAAUGUCUUCACCUCUCUCAACCUCAGUUUCCCCAUCUGCAAAAUGGGGACACUCUGACACCUGCUCUGUAGGGUCUUGAAAAGUCUCAAUAAAGGAAGACAUGGAAUCAUGGC